CACAGGUCAUUUAAUACUUCUGCGUUGGCCCUGUCCACAUGUUCAUUGUGAUAUAACUCUGGGCCCAUGCCCUAGGCAAUGUCACUCUCCUCUUUCGCCUGGGCCCUCUCCUUAGUGGGGAUUGUGACAUAUUACUUCUCCUAGCACCUAGGCGAUGGAACUUCCUCUCAUGCCCGGGCCCUGCCUAUGUGAGUGAUUGAAUAGAUGGCUAGACGCAGCCUCUAUAUUAUGCCACUCUCUUCUUCCUGAGCUCUACCCACAAAGGAAAGAUUGUGGCAUAUUACUGAACUAAGCAACCUAGUGACGUGUCUCUUCUGACUGGGGCUUGCCCACAGAGACAACUGUGACAUAGCACUGAGCCCAGGACCCAGGUGAUGUGACUCUGCUGCCUGUUUCCAACAUUCAUGAGAGGAUGGUAACUAUCCCUUGCCAAGAACUCAGGUGAUUUGACUGUCCUGCCUUGUUGCUGCCCUCAGAGAAGAUUGUGAUAUAUCUUCAGCCCCAAACCCAGGUAAUGUGACUUCCCUGCUUACUCCCUAUUCAGAGGAGAAAUUAUUACAUAUAACCUGGCCCAGCUCACAGGUUUGAUGACAAUUCUCAUACCUCAAACAAGCCAAUAGAAGAGAUACUGUCUCUCUCAGCGAGGCUUAGGAAAACUGGUAAAAUACCUGUGUCUCCUCUUUGUAUGAAGGUCAUAGAGAACUACCACGUGCUUUGUAUAUGGCAUAAAGCUCUUGAGUGGUACAGUGGUACAGAGAGUGUCCACAUGUCCUAAAACAAAGGGGAUAUUGUGUUUCUUGUAUACACACCCAGACACCUGUUAGGAUUGUCACCCUAACACCUGGAUACAGACCAUUGGUGAGGUCUUGUGUCUCACAUGCAGAUGCAAUCCACAGUUUGAUUCCUGACUGUCAAAUGUAAACACCUGUCCAAAGUUGGGAUGGUGACUCAUUUCUAAACCCAGCUCAUAGACAAGUGAGGACUCUUCUGUCUGGCCCAGUUAAUCCGAGAAAUAUUAACUUUUCUACCUGGGCUUAGGGAGCAGCAUAAAGGUCUCGGGGCAAAUUGUGGCUCUCAUUCCUAGUCUACAAUGAUCUUGGGUAGUAUUAAAUGUCCUAACGGGGUUCAGCGCACAGGUGAGAUUGUGACAGUGAUAUCCACACCCAACUGACAGUAAAACUUGCCAUCUUUCCUCAUGGAUACAGCCCACUGUUGAGGUGUUGAAUCUCAUAACCAAAGGCAGUUGAAAAUUAAAACAUUGUCUCUCAUUGGUAGACCCAGUCCACAGGGGGGUUGGUGACUCUCAGACCAAAAUUCAGCACAGUUAUGAGGUCGUCACUCCACUAAGAAAACGGAAUUCCCAGAACAAAUUGAGACUGUCAUGCACAAAUCCAGCCCACCACUGAGAUUGUGACUCAUUUACUUAGACCCAACAUAUAGGAAGUGUUGACUCUUAUACCUAGAAUUGGGACAUGUGUAAGAUUGUUCAUCUUUUCCUCAGACUUUCCUGCAGGAGUGAUGCUGACAUGUUCCUCUAUUUGGCAUCUGAGUGAUAUGACUCUUGCCAUGGUCUAGCCCACAGAUGGAAUUGUGAUGUGUUGCUGUACCCAGCACCUAGGUGAUGUAACUCCAUUUUUCUGCCUUGGCAUUGCUCACAAAAGGUAUUUUGACAUAUCUCUGGGGUAUGUACCCAGGUUUCAUGACUCUCUUGCCUGUGCCCUGUCCACAAAUUGUCAUGAAAUAUUGCUGGGUCCAACACCCAGGGAUGUAACUCUCAUGCCUAGGCCCUGCCAACAGGGGGAAUUGUGACAAAUCUGUGUCAAUAACCCAGGUUAUGUGACUCUCUUUUUUUGCCUGGUCCCUGCUCACAGAGGGCAUUAUGACAUAUUGCUGAACUCAGCACCUAACUGAUGUGAUUCUCCUUUCUAGUUUUUGCCCACAGGGGAGAUUGUGACAUAUCACUGGGCCUCAAACUAAGGUGAAGUUACACUUUCAUUUUCGAACUGUACUCAGAAGGCAUCGUGACAUAUUCCUGGGCCCAGCACCAAGGUGAUGUGAGUCUCCUGCCUGCACUUUGCCCACAAAUGGCAUUGUAACAUAUCUUUAGACCUAUCAACUACUUGAUAUGACUUAUUUUUUUAAAGUGAAAGCAAGUUUAUUAGAGAAGUAAAUAAACAAAAGAAUGGCUACUCCAUAGACAGAGAAGACCUCAGGGCUGCUCAUUGGCUCUUUUCAUGGUUAUUUCUUGAGUACAUACUAAACAAGGGAUGGAUUAUUUGUGAGUUUUCCAGGGAAAGGAUGGGCAAUUUCCAGAACUCAGGGUGCCUUCCCUUUUUAGACCAUAUAGGAUACCUUCCUAACAUUGCCAUGACAUUUGUAAAGUGUCAUGGUGCUGUUGGGAGUGUCUUUUAGCAUACUGAUGCAUUACAUUUAGUGUAUAAUGAGCAGUGAGGACUAACAGAGGUCACUUUCAUUGCAGUUUUUCUUUCGGUGGGUUUUUGCUGUCUUUUGUCCUGUAUCCUCUUUUAUCAGCAAGGUGUUUGUGAA
rnacentral:lncRNA from 1 species